rnacentral:rRNA from 1 species
GACGUACGCUGGCGGCGUGCCUAAUACAUGCAAGUUGAGCGCUGAAGGUUGGUACUUGUCCCGACUGGAUGAGCAGCGAACGGGUGAGUAACGCGUGGGGAAUCUGCCUUUGAGCGGGGGACAACAUUUGGAAACGAAUGCUAAUACCGCAUAAAAACUUUAAACACAAGUUUUAAGUUUGAAAGAUGCAAUUGCAUCACUCAAAGAUGAUCCCGCGUUGUAUUAGCUAGUUGGUGAGGUAAAGGCUCACCAAGGCGAUGAUACAUAGCCGACCUGAGAGGGUGAUCGGCCACAUUGGGACUGAGACACGGCCCAAACUCCUACGGGAGGCAGCAGUAGGGAAGCUUCGGCAAUGGACGAAAGUCUGACCGAGCAACGCCGCGUGAGUGAAGAAGGUUUUCGGAUCGUAAAACUCUGUUGGUAGAGAAGAACGUUGGUGAGAGUGGAAAGCUCAUCAAGUGACGGUAACUACCCAGAAAGGGACGGCUAACUACGUG